rnacentral:rRNA from 1 species
ACUCAAAUGAAUAGACGGGGGCCCGCACAAGCAGCGGAGCGUGUGGUUUAAUUCGACGCAACGCGCAACACCUUACCAGGGUUUGACAUCCCCAGAAUCCGGGUGAAAGCUCGGAGUGCCCGCAAGGGAGCUGGGAGACAGGUGCUGCAUGGCUGUCGUCAGCUCGUGUCGUGAGAUGUUGGGUUAAGUCCCGCAACGAGCGCAACCCCCGUGGCUAGUUACGUGGAUGUCUAGCCAGACUGCCGGUACCAAACCGGAGGAAGGUGGGGAUGAUGUCAAGUCAGCAUGGCCCUUACACCCUGGGCGACACACACGCUACAAUGGCCGGGACAGUGGGCCGCCAAGCGGUAACGCGGAGCCAAUCCCCCAAACCCGGUCUCAGUUCAGAUUGUGGGCUGCAACUCGCCCACAUGAAGGCGGAGUUGCUAGUAACCGCAGAUCAGCAGUGCUGCGGUGAAUAUGUUCCCGGGCCUUGUACACACCGCCCGU